rnacentral:rRNA from 1 species
AGUGAACGCUGGCGGUAGGCCUAACACAUGCAAGUCGAACGGCAGCACAGUAAGAGCUUGCUCUUACGGGUGGCGAGUGGCGGACGGGUGAGGAAUACAUCGGAAUCUACUUUUUCGUGGGGGAUAACGUAGGGAAACUUACGCUAAUACCGCAUACGACCUACGGGUGAAAGCAGGGGAUCUUCGGACCUUGCGCGAUUGAAUGAGCCGAUGUCGGAUUAGCUAGUUGGCGGGGUAAAGGCCCACCAAGGCGACGAUCCGUAGCUGGUCUGAGAGGACGAUCAGCCACACUGGAACUAAGACACGGUCCAGACUCCUACGGGAGGCAGCAGUGGGGAAUAUUGGACAAUGGGCGCAAGCCUGAUCCAGCCAUACCGCGUGGGUGAAGAAGGCCUUCGGGUUGUAAAGCCCUUUUGUUGGGAAAGAAAAGCAGCAGGUUAAUACCCCGCUGUUCUGACGGUACCCAAAGAAUAAGCACCGGCUAACUUCGUG